GGUCAAGUGAAUAAGUGCAUACGACGGAUGCCUUGGCAUUAGAAGGCGAUGAAGGACGUGAUAAUCUGCGAUAAGCUUCGGUUAGCUGAUAAUAAGCAUUAUUAGCCGGAGAUCUCCGAAUGGGAAAACCCAGUGGUCAUCAGACCAUUAUCCUUAACUGAAUACAUAGGUUAAGGAGGCAAACCUAGGGAACUGAAACAUCUAAGUACCUAGAGGAAAAGAAAUCAACCGAGAUUCCCUUAGUAGCGGCGAGCGAACGGGGAUCAGCCCUUAAGCAUAUUUUAAAUUACUAGAAUGUUCUGGAAAGUUCAACGAUACAGGGUGAUAGUCCCGUAUAGGAAAAUUUAAUUUAUGUGAAAUCGAGUAAGGCGGCGCACGUGAAACGCUGUUUGAAUAUGGGGGGACCACCCUCCAAGGCUAAAUACUCUCUAAUGACCGAUAGUGAACAAGUACCGUGAGGGAAAGGCGAAAAG
rnacentral:rRNA from 1 species